rnacentral:rRNA from 1 species
UGUAAACUCCUGAACCCGGGACGAAAUCCCUGUGGAGGGGGCUGACGGUACCGGGGUAAUAGCGCCGGCCAACUCCGUGCCAGCAGCCGCGGUAAUACGGAGGGCGCGAGCGUUACCCGGAUUUACUGGGCGUAAAGGGCGUGUAGGCGGCCUGGGGCGUCCCAUGUGAAAGACCACGGCUCAACCGUGGGGGAGCGUGGGAUACGCUCAGGCUAGACGGUGGGAGAGGGUGGUGGAAUUCCCGGAGUAGCGGUGAAAUGCGCAGAUACCGGGAGGAACGCCGAUGGCGAAGGCAGCCACCUGGCCCAUUUGUGACGCUGAGGCGCGAAAGCGUGGGGAGCAAACCGGAUUAGAUACCCGGGUAGUCCACGCCCUAAACGAUGCGCGCUAGGUCUCUGGGUUUACUGGGGGCCGAAGCCAACGCGAUAAGCGCGCCGCCUGGGGAGUACG